rnacentral:rRNA from 1 species
AGAGUUUGAUCCUGGCUCAGAGCGAACGCUGGCGGCAGGCCUAACACAUGCAAGUCGAACGAACUCUUCGGAGUUAGUGGCGGACGGGUGAGUAACACGUGGGAACGUGCCUUUAGGUUCGGAAUAACUCAGGGAAACUUGUGCUAAUACCGAAUGUGCCCUUCGGGGGAAAGAUUUAUCGCCUUUAGAGCGGCCCGCGUCUGAUUAGCUAGUUGGUGAGGUAAAGGCUCACCAAGGCGACGAUCAGUGGCUGGUCUGAGAGGAUGAUCAGCCACAUUGGGACUGAGACACGGCCCAAACUCCUACGGGAGGCAGCAGUGGGGAAUCUUGCGCAAUGGGCGAAAGCCUGACGCAGCCAUGCCGCGUGAAUGAUGAAGGUCUUAGGAUUGUAAAAUUCUUUCAGUAGGGACGAUAAUGACGGUACCUACAGAAGAAGCCCCGGCUAACUUCGUGCCAGCAGCCGCGGUAAUACGAAGGGGGCUAGCGUUGCUCGGAAUUACUGGGCGUAAAGCGCACGUAGGCGGAUAUUUAAGUCAGGGGUGAAAUCCCAGAGCUCAACUCUGGAACUGCCUUUGAUACUGGGUAUCUUGAGUAUGGAAGAGGUAAGUGGAAUUGCGAGUGUAGAGGUGAAAUUCGUAGAUAUUCGCAGGAACACCAGUGGCGAAGGCGGCUUACUGGUCCAUUACUGACGCUGAGGUGCGAAAGCGUGGGGAGCAAACAGGAUUAGAUACCCUGGUAGUCC